rnacentral:rRNA from 1 species
GCGUAUAUUAAAGUUGUUGCAGUUAAAACGCUCGUAGUCGGGUUUCGGGUCGGGCCGAGCGGUCUGCCGAUGGGUAUGCACUGUUUGGCGCGGCCUUCUUUCCGGAGACCGCGGCUACUCUUAACUGAGCGGGCGUGGGAGACGGAUCGUUUACUUUGAAAAAAUCAGAGUGUUUCAAGCAGGCAGCUCGCUCUUGCAUGGUACAGCAUGGGAUGAUUGAAUAGGACUCCGGUGCUAUUUUGUUGGUUUCGAACACCAGGAGUAAUGAUCAACAGGGACAGUCAGGGGCACUCGUAUUCCGUCGAGAGAGGUGAAAUUCUCAGACCAAUGGAAGACGAACCACUGCGAAAGCAUUUGCCAGGGAUGUUUUCACUGA